CCCUUAGAUGUUCUGGGCCGCACGCGUGCUACACUGAGUGGAUCAGCGGGUCAGGUUGCGCGAAAGCGUUUCCUAAUCUUUAAAUCCGCUCGUGAUGGGGAUUGACGGUUGCAAUUUUCUGUCAUGAACGAGGAAUACCUUGUAAGCGCGGGUCAUCAUCCCGCGCUGAAUACGUCCCUGCCCUUUGUACACACCGCCCGUCGCUCCUACCGAUUGAGUGGUCCGGUGAGGCUUUGGGAUCUGAGCGGAAAGAGCGUUUCGCUGUUUCUGCUCGGAAAACUCAGUCGAACCUUAUCAUUGAGAGGAAGGAGAAGUCGGAACA
rnacentral:rRNA from 1 species